AUACGGAGGGUGCAAGCGUUACUCGGAAUCACUGGGCGUAAGGCGCGCGCAGGCGGCCUGAUAAGUUGGAUGUGAAAGCCUACGGCUCAACCGUAGAACUGCAUCCAAAACUGUCAGGCUAGAGUGUGGGAGAGGAAGAUGGAAUUAGUUGUGUAGGGGUAAAAUCCGUAGAGAUAACUAGGAAUACCAAAAGCGAAGGCAAUCUGCUGGAACACUACUGACGCUGAGGCGCGAAGGCGUGGGGAGCAAACAGGAUUAGAAACCCCAGUAGUCC
rnacentral:rRNA from 1 species